UGCAGAGGGGGCAAGCGUUGUUCGGAAUUACUGGGCGGAAAGGGCGCGUAGGCGGCCUUCUAAGUCGAACGUGAAAUCCCUGGGCUCAACCCAGGAACUGCGUCCGAUACUGGAAGGCUUGAAUCCGGGAGAGGGAUGCGGAAUUCCAGGUGUAGCGGUGAAAUGCGUAGAUAUCUGGAGGAACACCGGUGGCGAAGGCGGCAUCCUGGACCGGCAUUGACGCUGAGGCGCGAAAGCCAGGGGAGCAAACGGG
rnacentral:rRNA from 1 species